CUCUCCUCACCGCCCUGCCAACGCUCCCCUGUGGGAGCCCAGGAGCCGCAGCUGGCGCACGGCGGGCCUGCGCCCAGGUUCCCACGGCACACUGCUUUGCUCUCCUCCCUGCACCCUUGCUAUCGUGACAUCUCACCCCUUAGGAGCUUCAGGACUGCCAGGAAACAGGGAAUCCUAAGAAUUGGUCAUCAUGUCUGACAAAAAAAAAAAUAACGGUAUCACUGGAUCUUCCCAGAAAGAGUCUAAAAUGGGAGACUGGAAUCUCAGGCAGCCACCUUUGCCGCCACGCAGGGAGCUCCCAAAGGAGAAUGAAGCCCACUCGGAGGGAAGCAGAGACAUAGGCCGAGGUCUGUUCUUACCAAUGUUGUCCAAGUACCUGGAUCCAGCUCUUCCUGAAGGCUUGAAGGCACAGCUGUCCCUGGACAUCUCAUUUUUAAAAACAACUUACUGUGCUCAAGCUAGCUGGAACUGGGUUUCUGUA